ACCUCGGGGUGCCAGGACGACAUUGGCUGAGAGUAAACCCGUUGAACCUGAACCGGCUAAAACCGGCGGAGGGAAGGU
rnacentral:ncRNA from 1 species